GCCCAACUUUCAACAAGUAUUCAUUCCUAAUCAAGCAUUUUCAAAAUCUAUAACCCCCUUACAGAACUUUGCCAAACCUCAACAGAUUGCUGAUCCUUCCUUAAUCGACCAACACCCUUUGUGGGUUNNNNNNNNNNUUCUUGAUCCUCCCAUAUCUUGCUCUCCCCAUCAAAUUCCUCUUGAAGACCCUAUUUGGCAACCCAUCUUCGCUUUUCUUGAAAGAAUUCAUGGCAACCUCAGACCAAAGC
rnacentral:misc_RNA from 1 species